UAAAUUUUGUUGUUUCAUGUAUGUAUUGUUCUGAUUACGUUAGAUAUGAUUGUUGGUCUAGAUCAAUUGGAUUUUAUUAAAGGUUUAAAGGCAACGAUUGAAAAUAUUCCUGCGUGUCUGUCUGCAAUCACUAAUAACUUAGCUAAUUGUCAAGAUUUCUGCUUUGUGUUCAUAGAACAGUGUUCUCAGUAAUAAUAGCAUCUUUAACAUCCGUUUCACUAUAAGAUUGGGGGAGUGGUGGCGUUGCUUUGGCGUGGGAAGCCAACCAACGCUGGCUAAGCCACUCUGUGCCAGCAUUGGGUUUGGCGUUGCCCAGCAAGCGUCGCUAUGGAGUCUGGCAUGGGGUGGGGUUGGGGUGAGUUGGCUAACCAGGAUUGAGUGAUCAUUUUUUACUGCUAGCCGUAGCCGUUUGGCAUGGUGGUUUAAUGGGGACCUAAGCCACGAUGAUCGAAUAGAGAUCGCGAAGAUCAAUUGGAAAUAUUGCAGACUUGGUCCCAAUGGUUUACUAAUUACGGAGUUGGUUCUAGUGGUUGUAAAGUUUGCACUCAGGUGAUUUUUAUCACUAACCCAUGUUAAUUUUCUUAGUUAAAUGUAUGAGAAAUGAUUAGAUUAUCCCUGAACAAUAAAUAAAAUAAAAAAUAAAGAUGUUCCACACUCUUUUUCUGGUCAAAAACAGAACAUCAUGUAAUUAUAUUAGAUGGGAGGAGUGGUGUAAAUACCCGUUGGACAUGUUGUAAUUUUUUUUGCCCUUUGCCCGUUUGGGUUGGGGGUGUUGUAAUUGUUUGGCUUUUUGCCCGUUUGGAUCGGAUGUGUGCUAAUGAAGUUUAAUU
rnacentral:lncRNA from 1 species